AAGAAAACGUUGCCGUCGCUCCCACGCGUAGCACCUGUCCUCCUUCCACCUUCCCCUUCCACCCAUCUGGCCUUCCCGCUCGCCUCUUCCCCGCUCCCCACGCGUCUCCUCUGGUGGCCGCCUUCGGCGAGUGGAGUCUGUUCCUCACUGGCUCGCUGCAUUCUUCCUCUGCGAGGUGUUAGUGUGGGGAUGGGAUCUGACAGGAUCGGGACGAGGAGGCGGCUGUGAAGUACACGUUCUGGAGCUGCGCGUGGAUGCGCUCAUUGCCGAGGCCGAUGCCGCUCUUUCUGGAGGCCGACACCGCUCUUUCUAGAAGAAAUCCCUCGGUGUCAAGCGGGGUGACGUGGACACCUACGUCCUUCAUGUUUGGGCGCUGGAGGGCGACGGGAGGCAUCGAUUCGCCGUUUGGCUCCUGCACUAGGGGACUGCGGCUGCUACAAAAGAUGCAGCAAUUGGAAGAUGCACAGUAACGACUGAAACUAUUCGAGGACAAAUCUUGGAUUGUUGUUGUCGUUGGAAUUUAGAGUUGCAUGGUUGGCAUGGUCAACAUGGCAAAGAAAGUAUAGAAGAUUUGCCAAACCAAGUAUGGGCUUGUAGAGUACCUCAGGUAAUCAGAUUCUGCACCCAAAUUUAAUUUUACUUGCUUUUAAAUGCUUCUAGGGCAGAUGAUGUCGAUAUGCUAGAUUGUGUUGUAGUUUAUGCUUGUCUGGUUAUGUAUAUUUUCUUCCAGAGUGUCACAUUUCCUUUUUGAGAAAUUCUAAUGGUGUAGGCUGAGCAUGGACGUUUGUGCUGUUGUGUGUGUUGAGGUCAAUCUUAGUUUGGAACACAAUAGAGCAAUGGUGAUCAGCUCAUUCUAGCUUUAAAUGAAAACAAUUUAAAAAUUAGUUUGUCAAUAGUCACUAGAUACAAAUAUAGUCCCUCUGUUUCUAAAUAUGAGUAUGGACUACAUACGGAUAUCAAUAGUCACUAGAUACAAAUAUACUCGCUAAAUUCACUCAUUUCGCUUCGUAUGUAGUUCAUAUUGAAAUCUCUAAAAAGACUUAUAUUAAGGAACAUAGGGAGUACUACAUUGGGCCCUUUGUUUCAAAAGUUGUUUCUUAUCACGUAUAGAGGUUCAGUACAGUUUGAAGCUGACAAGAUCCAUAUAACUUGCACUGCUUGAUGUUCAUGUCAAGCCACACUUACUGUUAUCACUAAACUGAAAAAAUGUCAACUUCCUAAUUAAAUUUGCUAAAAUGUUGUAAAACUGAAGCUCUCUGCAGGUAUUAUAUUUCCUGCUCAAUAUGCUCAUGUAUAAAACAUUUUUCUCGGCGUGUGAGCAAACUCUGACGGACAAUAUGCUGAUUAACUUUGUUCUAAACUGUUGAAUCGCCAUAAGGGAGAUAGUAGUGUAGUACGGAGGAAAUAAUCCUCGAAUUUUGUUUGCAAGGCAUGUACUGAUGUCAUUAAUUUGGCAUGCAAAGUGUUGCUAAAAAUUAAUGCAACUAUUAUUUUCUUGCAGUAAAAGAUUAUUGUUUGUAACAUAAUUUAUAUAUUUUUCAAUUAGAAAAUAUCAUAUAGCCAAUUAUUUUUGUCCUUCGUAAACACAAAGAAUGAUGAUUUAUAGCAUCAGUAGAGUGUGUAGGCAAUUUUGACUGUGGUACGUGAGGUCAUGUACUUUGUUAUCACUAGAAAAUUUAUGUACCUGUGCUGCUGGCCACUUUUUUUAGACGCGGUAAUUAACCUUUGAAGUGUAUACAUGGUAUCAAAUAUAUCGAGAUUAACAUUAGUUUCCCCUGUUGAAGCUUGUGCAAUUGGAUUUAUGUUGGUCAAGAACUGGUCAACGAUAAAGGAGAACAAGCAUUGUAUUUUGUAUUACUAUUCUAUACAAACUUUCUUCCCACACCAUUAUGUAAUCUUUCCCUUUUGAGGUUGCAGUAUGAUCUCUGCUAACCAGAUUUUAUAUAUGAUCACUGCUAAAUUACAACAUAAUGCCAAAUGUACAAGUAUCCUUUGCAGAAUUCGAAUGCCCAUCGAUAUCUUAUUACAUA